rnacentral:sRNA from 1 species
GCUUCUACCGUAGCUUAUUUAACCCUGACGGAAAAGGAGGAUGUCGUUCGGUUCUCAUCAAGACAAGAAUCAGGCUGGGGAACAAAGAGGAUAGAUAAACGUAUCCAGGACUGGGCUGGAGAACUAGGCAACAGUUGUGAAUAUUGCUGUCACUUCUAGAACUAAUCAGUGAGUAUGGGAUGGGCCAAGUUAAGGUAGAAAAACAGACGAUUUUAACUUUGUUCUUGGUCUGAGUUUCAGGAAUGUCCCCUGGCUUCUGGGUGACCUUGGACCAAAUAUUUCCUGUCCUUCUAAACUCAGCCUUUUGGAGGACCAGAGUUACCUUGAUUUGAUGAGAACAACCUGGGAAGUCCCCUCACACAUUUUUUUAAGACCGAUGUAAAUUGAGCCAGGUAUGGUGGUGCACAUUUGUGAUCCCAGAGGGGUAAAGACAGAAGCAUCAGAGUUCAAGGUUGUCCUUGUCUAUAUAGGGAGUUUGAGGUCAGCCUAAGCUACGUGGGCAUGGGGGUUGGGGGCGAAGGAAAACACCACCAUAGAAACCUGAAGAACUAGCCAAGGUUUGUCUCUCUCUUCGGCUAGACAGCCCACAAACCACUUUAUCUCAAGAAAUUCUUACAAAAUAUUUGCCAAGUGGUCAGGCAGAGACUCUGAGAUGGGAAGCCAUUCACCCAAGAUCACCCAGGGAAUACAAGGCAGAGCUGGGUUGAAGCAGCCUUUUUGUGGAGAAAGACCAGCAAUGGUGUCCACAGAAGCCAGAAGAGGUGUCAGAUCCCUCAGAGGAUUGUGAGCUGCUCAACGUAGGUGCUGAGGACGCAACUCUGGCCCUUAUAACCAAGCGUUAUUCUCCAAACCCUUGAGGGAUAUUUGACAACCAGAUACUCCCUUCCUUUCUCCUGCCCCAACCUCCAACACCACGUUCUCCAGUUUUGAGUUCUGAUGUUAUCAAUGAUAAACCCUGAAGCGACUCCUGUCUUCACUGGGAACAUGGCAAUUAGACCACGUCAUUCUACUUUUAAACUCUAAGGUAUUGAUAUAAUGCAUGGAGUUCUGUUCGGUUGGAUUUUUGAGAUGGGGUCUUGUGUAGCCCAGGCUGGUCUUGAUCUCACUACGUAGCCAAGGAUGACUUUGAACAUCUGAUCCUCUUACCCCAACCACCUCCUGAGUAGUGGAAUGACACAAGUUUGGUAGCUGUGAGACAAGGUCUCACUACGUAGCCCUGGUUGUCUGGAACUCUUUACAUAGUCUAUCCCGUCCUUGAACCCAUAGAGAUCUGCCUGUCUUUGCCUCCUACGCACUACGAUUAAAGUUGUAUGCCACCAUACCCAGUGCUUUUAAUGUUCAUUCAGAACAGGGUCUUGCUGUGUAGUCUGGGCAGACUGCUCGAAAACUCUGUUUUCCUGCCUUGGCCUCCAGAGAGGUUACAGACAUGUGCCCGAUAGCUUUGGGAGCUAUGACUUCAGUGGGCUGUCACAGAGCUGCAGUGAAAGUGCCUGGUCUGGAAUCCCAGACUUAUCGCUGACCCACUAUUCCUCUGCUUCUGCUUCCACAGGGUUAAAUGAAGCUACUGGUCCUGGGGAGACGGCUCAGUGGGCAGAAGUGCCUGUCGUGCAUGCCAGACUUCGAUCCCUGAAACCCCCAAAGGUGGAAGGAAAGAACUGACUUCCCAAGGCUUUCCUCUGGCCUCCACAACUAUGCCUUUGCACUCCUGACCACACAGACAUCAUAUACACACAGACAUGCACACAGAUAGUAACAGUGACAUCGAUGAUGAUAAUAAAAACCUUAAAUGGAGAUACUAAUAGUCAAGGAAAUAAUGCAAUUCACAUAGGGCAGACCUGCCCAAUCCUAAACAAGUCUGUGGUGACACUACCAAUACCAACACAUGUAUGUAAUCAUCCACUUAUUUCUACUUUGUUCCGCUUCUGUUUUUUGUUUUUUGUUUU